rnacentral:rRNA from 1 species
CCCUUAGAUGUUCUGGGCCGCACGCGCGCUACACUGACGAAGUCAGCGAGCAUGUCCUACGCCGACAGGUGCGGGGAAUCUUGUCAAACUUCGUCGUGAUGGGGAUUGAUUUUUGAAAUUCUUGAUCAUAAACGAGGAAUUCCUAGUAAGCGCAAGUCAGCAGCUUGCGUUGAUUACGUCCCUGCCCUUUGUACACACCGCCCGUCGCUACUACCGAUUGAAUGGUUUAGUGAGAUCUUCGGAUUGGCGCCACUGCAGCUCAGCAAUGGGCUUGGUGGAUGCCGAAAAGUUGAUCAAACUUGAUCAUUUAGAGGAAGUAAAAGUCGUAAC